AUCCAGAUGAUGAGUUCAAAAUAAAACGAAAUGUGCGUCCUCGAU
rnacentral:hammerhead_ribozyme from 1 species